GACGAACGCUGGCGGCGUGCCUAAUACAUGCAAGUCGAACGCUUUUUCUUUCACCGGAGCUUGCUCCACCGAAAGAAAAAGAGUGGCGAACGGGUGAGUAACACGUGGGUAACCUGCCCAUCAGAAGGGGAUAACACUUGGAAACAGGUGCUAAUACCGUAUAACACUAUUUUCCGCAUGGAAGAAAGUUGAAAGGCGCUUUCGCGUCACUGAUGGAUGGACCCGCGGUGCAUUAGCUAGUUGGUGAGGUAACGGCUCACCAAGGCAACGAUGCAUAGCCGACCUGAGAGGGUGAUCGGCCACACUGGGACUGAGACACGGCCCAGACUCCUACGGGAGGCAGCAGUAGGGAAUCUUCGGCAAUGGACGGAAGUCUGACCGAGCAACGCCGCGUGAGUGAAGAAGGUUUUCGGAUCGUAAAACUCUGUUGUUAGAGAAGAACAAGGAUGAGAGUAGAACGUUCAUCCCUUGACGGUAUCUAACCAGAAAGCCACGGCUAACUACGUGCCAGCCGCCGCAGUAA
rnacentral:rRNA from 1 species